rnacentral:lncRNA from 1 species
CCUUCCACAUCGUCUUUGCUCACGCACAUACCUACGUGCAAAGAGAAGGCGCGUGAGGGUGAAGACACCAAUCAUGUACCCUCUACAGGUGCCGAAAGGGGCAGAGGAAAACGCAGCCGCCCAAAAGGCCACCACGAAACUCCUGAACUCCAAGAACCCAGUAAGAAGACCUGCUGAAGUAAGGAGCUACAGCCCAGCAGCCUGUUCGAAACCAGGUUUAUGAAGCUCGAUACCUGUAAUGGACGUUACUCGGCGGCACUCACAUUUAAUGUUG